rnacentral:tRNA from 1 species
UCCGGCAUGGUCUAGUGGCUAGGAUACCUGGCUCUCACCCAGGAGGCCCGGGUUCAAUUCCCGGUGACGGAA